AACGUAGGAGACAAACGUUAUCCGGAGUUACUGGGCGUAAAGGGCGUGUAGGCGGUUUGUUAAGUCUGGCGUGAAAGCUCUCGGCUAAACCGGGAGAGGUCGUUGGAUACUGGCAAACUAGAGGAUGGUAGAGGCGUGUGGAAUUCCAGGUGUAGCGGUGAAAUGCGUAGAUAUCUGGAGGAACAUCAGUGGCGAAGGCGACACCCUGGACUCAUACUGACACUGAGGUGCGAAAGCUAGGGGAGCGAAUGGG
rnacentral:rRNA from 1 species